CGCCCCUCGUCCCAUGCUCUUCCCACCGCAUCGCCUCCUCCCUUUCGCCUCCACUUUCAAUCCCUAUCCCCCCUACUCCCAUGCUCUCCCCGCAGAUCAGAGCCCCGCCGGUGAGGUCUUCACAGCCGAGGUCGAGGAGAAGGGAAGAACCACGAUGGGAGGAAGGAGCAGCGAGGCCAGAGCGGUCACAUCAUGGUGGAGUGGACCUGCAGGGGAGAGGAAGGAGGCCGGCGAGAGUGGGAAGGAUUGGUGGGUUCUCUACUGAUGGUGUUGGAGAUUGCAAGGAUUGUUCAAUCUGGUUUCAGGAGUGUGUGCUGCUCCUAUAAGUUAACUCAGGUCUUCCAAAACAGGUAUGUACAAGCACCUCUGGUAUACCCUCGAGAAAGAAAGCGAAUGAGAAAUGGAGGCCAAGGAUGGUUGCCGUUUUUUGUAUAUCGUGAUGGCUUCAACCCUGAAAUAUGCCCAGCUGGUCUGAAACAAGAACAGAAGGGAGCCUGAGAACACUCAGCUUGCGCCAUGGAUAGCCAAAUAUUUUUCAAAGUACUGCAGACCCCCUGUGUUUGCUAAACAAACUGGAUAGGUUGUGUAGCUGAACAAUUUAUUCCUUUCACUGCCAUUAUAUGUGCGUAAUUUCAUAUUCGAUUUUGAAGUACAUCCCUUCCAUUCUACUUCAAGUUAGGUGUAUGUCAGUAGGUAUCAGGAGGAUAGAAUAACCAAUAUCCUUACUGUCAUUUAAUUCUGUGCACUAUGGAUGAUCACAAAUUAUCAUUGGUUCUGUACACCAAACAAUGCUUUCACUAUUGCAAGGUUCUGGUUCCUCUUAAUUUUCUGCAAAGUUCUGGUUUAAUGUAAAAAAUAGUUUUUAUAUUGUUAUUUCUUGAUCUUCUGCAAGGCUCUGGUUCCUCUUAAUUUUCUGGCACUAUUGGUUUCGCUUGACAAUUAUUUUGGUGCUUUACAUCUAAAUUUAAAUGUAGGCAGUCUGACUAUUACAACAAGACAAAAAAGAGCCUGAGAACACUCAACUUGCACCGUGGGUUGCCAAAUAUUUUUCAGUAUACUACAGACCCCCUGUGUUUGCUAAACAAAUUGGAUAAUAUGUGUACAUGAUCACAAAUUAUUAUGGGUUAUUGUACACCAAAAUCAUGAUAGCUCCACACAUAAAUUUCGGCCAGACUUACUAUGUUCCUUCAAGAGUAACCAUUUGAAAUUCUCGAUGCAUUUGAGACCGUGGCAACGAGACAAGCUGGGAGCGUAGCACUUAGCGUGACUUUGAUUGCUAUAGAUAAUAUGUUAGGAGUUUCUCAUAUUUACUAGCCACUUGUCGGGGUUUUUAAAUCUUUUGUUGUGCUAUUGGGGAGCUGUGGUGUGUCAGACUGUUGUCAUUCACAUUGGACAAGCUUAUUAUUUAUUUUCUUUGGGUCUAAAGUUCUAUAAACUGAUCGGAUCGAUGGGUGGUCAGAUCAUCUGGUACGGUGAGCAAUGAACAUCGGGACCUGAUAAAUUCUGGAUAGUAGUAACCUUGCCACGACAUGAGCCGCGAUGCUACCAAAUUCCUCUGAAUCAAAGCACCACCUUGAACUCAAUGAACCAGGCACAAUACAUCCCUGUGUUGCAGUCUCUGAUGCAAGAUGAACCAUAGAUUGUAGCCAAGGCAUCAGCAAUGUCUACUGUGUUUGCUUUUCUAUGAUACAAUUUGACAUUUGAUUCAAUGGUUUUACAUCAUGGUGCAGGCGUCCUUUACAAACCAUUGCCAUGCGUAUCGACAGUUUGAUAUUUGCAUUAUUUGUCUGAACCGGUAAAAAGCUAGAAAUAUCUUUCAAUUUCCAUAAAUGAAACCUUCCUUUUUAUGUACUGGAGUUUUCUCUAGGUCAUUGUACAAAAUAGGCACCAAUGCACUUAUGGACAGUACACUCACACUGAUGAUUAUAUCUUCUUUAAUAUCUACUUGACGAUUUUGAAGGUUCAAUUAGAUAUGUUAUGUGCACUUUUUUUUGUAGAAUAUUUAAAUAUAUACCACAAUGCAACUUCUAUAAUUUGAAGUUAAUUGUAUUUGCUUUGUUUUGGAAGCUCUAGGAAAUAGACGGAGGUCUCAGCUGGCUGGGAAGAUUUGAUAAGAGCGCAUGUAAAAUAGAUCAUAUCUUAUGACUCUCAAGAUAUGUAUCCAGAGGGAAAGUCAAGUUGUGGAAUGCUGACUGAAUAUUCUACGUCCUCUAUUUUAUUUGCUAGGUGCAUUACACAUUACUUCCCUAGAUGUUUUCAGGUUAUUAUUACCUUGAUCCCCUUUGCCGGCAAGCAUUCUCAUCUUCUGGUCACUUGCAUAAGAUACAACAUGUUAAUGCUGUCUUAGUUUGGUUUGUUCUUCUGUUCUGCUGUGGGUGCAGUUUUUAAGGAUUCUCUUGUAGGUGAUGGAAGGUUAGCUACUCUAAUCAGGGAAAUACCUUCUCUCUGGAUGAUUGUUAUUCCCGCUGUUAAUCGGUUGUUGUUGUGGUUGAGGUUGUUAUGCUCGGUGUUAUCCCUACAUGUGGUUUUCUUCACCGCCUAGGAAAUCUGAAUCACAUCUCGAUUAUGCAUACACACAACAUGAGUUGCCAUGAAAGAUGUCUUUCCAUCUAGCUCCUUUACUGGUUUGUAUUAGGUGAUGAAGAUGCCAUACCUUUAUUUGAUUGACACAGGUACGAUUAUUGUUUGCAAUCUUAAGGUAAGAAGUAGGCUCAUAAUUAAAAACAGACAAGCUGUCUCUUCGGGUCCCAUGAUUCAGAUUAAUUUUUAAAUGCUAUCGGCGGACCUGAUCCAGUUUAUUAGUUUUCCCCUUUCCCAUUCAUCUUUGUUCUCUUCACCUGAUUGAUAGUGUUUGUUUGUCUACUUUCUGAUGUUUUGCAGGUACUGAUCGGUGUGGAUUUGCCGCCUCACGAUUUCCCUUACAACCACGACUUCAGUUGGCUUGGGUGUUCAGAUCCGCCACCGCACCGUCUCCCCCAUCCGCAUCGACAGCGACCGUCCUGGCAUCGGCCAGCUGCUGGUGCCAUGGCGAAGAAGCCGCUGCCCAGUAGCAGCGAUGGGUGUCGUCACGCCGUGCUGCGGACGUAUGCACUCAUGACGCGUCUGGCUCAAGGCCUCACCAACCAACAUGCCACAUCUUUGCUUGUAGAUAAGCGCUCCAAUCGCCAUAUUUACAAGAUGACAGCUGUUAAACAAGAGGAGGCAGACACAACCAGUGAUAUUAGUGGUGGCCAAAUUACCCAUGGGAAUGCUCAAAAACAUACUUAUGAUGACUAUUGAAUUAGGUUUCAAAUCAUAGACAUUAUUUUAACUUACCAUGAUCUCCUUAUCUAUUCAUCACAGACGAACCACUGUGUCAGAAGCACAACAAGCCAUUCGAGUAUAUUCAUCGCCCUCGCAAAGCAAGUCAAUCCGAAAGUUCAAAGGCAAGAAAAUCCAUCUAAAGCCUGGAAAGUACAUUCUCUGUGAUAAGUCUGACAUCCACCACUUAGAUGAGUUUAGUCGCCACAUUGUGUGGGGCAACACAGUUAUGCUCUACAACCAUAAUGUUCAUAGACUGUGAAAGAUCAUCCCAACACCACCACGCCUGAUCGCUACUAUGUGUGCCACAUGACAGAAACAUUUGCAACUGAUAGCAAAAGAAUGUACUUUAGGGUUCCCUUUUCCCACACAUGGAUGCUGACCAUGAUGAAGUAUCAAUCACUAAUGGAGACGGAACUACUGCUGUUACAGCCCACUUUAUCAAGGAUGUUAACAAAAGGGCCACCAUCACUAGAGGCUGGAGCGACUUCUUCUGUUAGGCACACAUGAACAAUACGCAAGCAUAUGCUUUCGCCUUCAAAUGCACUUCCAAGGGACUGUGCCUCA